rnacentral:rRNA from 1 species
UAUGUGAUCGUCUCUUGCAUAUCAAUAAGCGGAGGAAAAGAAACUAACAAGGAUUCCCCUAGUAACGGCGAGUGAAGCGGGAAGAGCUCAAAUUUGUAAUCUUAAAGGGUUUCCCUUUACGAAUUGUAGUUUAAAGAAGUGUUUUCUGUUGAGGUUUUGGUAAAAGUUCUUUGGAAUAGGACAUCAUAGAGGGUGAGAAUCCCGUAUUUGACCUUUACUUUCAACUUUGUGAUACACUUUCAAAGAGUCGGAUUGUUUGGGAAUGCAGUCCAAAAUGGGUGGUAAAUUUCAUCUAAAGCUAAAUAUUGGCGAGAGACCGAUAGCGAACAAGUACCGUGAGGGAAAGAUGAAAAGAACUUUGAAAAGAGAGUUAAACAGUACGUGAAAUUGUCAAAAGGGAAGCGUUUGACACCAGUGUUGUUUUUCUGAAAAUCAAUUAAAGAACUGUUUAUGCUAAGCUGUUUAGACUUUAUCAGCUAACUGUUUAGUUUUGAGCUUUUCUUUAAUGCACUUUUCAGUUAACAAGUCAACAUCAAUUUCUUUUGCUGUAAAAAAGCUUGAGGAAGGUGGCUUGAGAUUCGUCUUAAAUGUUUAUAGCCUCUUGCCUAUGCAGUCGGAGAGAUUGAGGUCUGCAGCGUAGAUCCUUCGGGGCUAAAUGCAUUUGUGCUAAGUUAUAGCAUUUUAUAGACAACUUGUUGACUAUGAUUUGUCUUGUAGCUUACUCGCUUAUGUUAUUUUACCUACGCUUAGGAUGUUGAAGAUGUAGCACAUCAU